rnacentral:lncRNA from 1 species
CUGCGUGUGUGUGUGUGUGUUAACAAAUUUUCUGCCUUGCACUUUUGGGAAUACUAAUGCUGUGAAACUGUCAGAGCUACCAGCAUCUCAGCUUGCUAAUGAAUUCCUAGACCUGUAUUCAGAAGAAAGGGAUAAGCAGAUGAGCUGAAAAUCCAGUUUCCAAGGAGACAGCCCUAGAAACAUGUAAGAAAUAUUUAACUAGAUUCAGAGUAAUCCUGUCAUGGUCUGGUGCUGAGCAUCAUCACUCCCUGAGUUCUAGGCUGCCCAGAAGACUGGAACGGAAGGUAAAGAAAUUCAGCAAAGCAGAAGAGCUGGAUACAAAAGGCCCAGUCCAGUUUCCGAUGAUGUCAGUGAAAAGAUUCCUAUUGACUUGAGUUGGAGCUGGAUCAGGCACAAAGAAAGAGAUAGGGGUGUGAGAGAAAUGGAAGAGAAUAAGCUGGAGAGUGGAUAGGAAAGAAAAGAUGCAAUAAAGUGCACUAUACAUUUGGAAAAUUCA